rnacentral:rRNA from 1 species
UACGGAGGGUGCAAGCGUUGUUCGGAUUGACUGGGCGUAAAGGGCGUGUAGGCGGUUUGUCAAGUCGGGUGUGAAAGCCUGGGGCUCAGCCUCAGAAGUGCAUCCGAAACUAGCGAGCUAGAGCGCGAUAGAGGAGGGUGGAAUUCCUGGUGUAGCGGUGAAAUGCGUAGAUAUCAGGAGGAACACCGGCGGCGAAGGCGGCCCUCUGGAUCGUUGCUGACGCUGAGGCGCGAAGGCCAGGGGAGCAAACGGG